GACGGCAUGGUCGAGUAGUAAGGCGGAGAACUGCAAAUCCUUGUUCCCCAGUCCAAAUCCGGGUGUCGCCU
rfam:Beta vulgaris subsp. vulgaris Bvchr5.sca018.con0009.1, whole genome shotgun sequence.